CGACGAAAUGCAUUCGCCAAAAGGGAGAGCGAAGUAUUGAAAUAUUGGUGAAAGAAGCCACUGACAGAACUGAGGACACCUGUAUGAUCAGCAACCAUCUAUUGGACAUCCACACUGGGGAGGAAGCUGUGUGUACACCAACAUGUCAGAAAGAAAUUGCUGUGCAGACGGAUCCCCC